rnacentral:rRNA from 1 species
GAUGAACGCUGGCGGCGUGCCUAAUACAUGCAAGUCGAGCGAACGGACGAGAAGCUUGCUUUUCUGAUGUUAGCGGCGGACGGGUGAGUAACACGUGGAUAACCUACCUAUAAGACUGGGAUAACUUCGUGAAACCGGAGCUAAUACCGGAUAAUAUUCUGAACCGCAUGGUUCAAAAGUGAAAGACGGUCUUGCUGUCACUUAUAGAUGGAUCCGCGCUGCAUUAGCUAGUUGGUAAGGUAACGGCUUACCAAGGCAACGAUGCAUAGCCGACCUGAGAGGGUGAUCGGCCACACUGGAACUGAGACACGGUCCAGACUCCUACGGGAGGCAGCAGUAGGGAAUCUUCCGCAAUGGGCGAAAGCCUGACGGAGCAACGCCGCGUGAGUGAAGAAGGUCUUCGGAUCGUAAAACUCUGUUAUUAGGGAAGAACAUAUGUGUAAGUAACUGUGCACAUCUUGACGGUACCUAAUCAGAAAGCCACGGCUAACUACGUG